UUGACCUCGGAUUAGG
rnacentral:rRNA from 1 species